CCCUUAGAUGUCCUGGGCCGCACGCGCGUUACACUGAUGCAUUCAACGAGCUUAUAACCUUGGCCGAGAGGCCUGGGCAAUCUUGUUAACGUGCAUCGUGAUAGGGAUAGAUUAUUGAAAUUAUUAAUCUUGAACGAGGAAUUCCUAGUAAACGCAGAUCAUCAAUCUGCAUUGAUUACGUCCCUGCCCUUUGUACACACCGCCCGUCGCUACUACCGAUUGGAUGGUUUAGUGAGAUCCUCGGAUUGGUCCCGGAGCGGCCUCUGGUCGUGCCGGAGUGCCGAAAAGAAUGUCGAACUUGAUCAUCUAGAGGAAGUAAAAGUCGUAACA
rnacentral:rRNA from 1 species